CCUACGGGGGGCAACAGUGAGGAAUAUUGGUCAAUGGACGAGAGUCUGAACCAGCCAAGUAGCGUGAAGGAUGACUGCCCUAUGGGUUGUAAACUUCUUUUAUAUGGGAAUAAAAUGUUCCACGUGUGGGAUUUUGUAUGUACCAUAUGAAUAAGGAUCGGCUAACUCCGUGCCAGCAGCCGCGGUAAUACGGAGGAUCCGAGCGUUAUCCGGAUUUAUUGGGGUUAAAGGGUGCGUAGGUGGAUUGUUAAGUCAGUUGUGAAAGUUUGCGGCUCAACCGGAAAAUUGCAGUUGAAACUGGCAGUCUUGAGUACAGGAGAGGUGGGCGGAAUUCGUGGUGUAGCGGUGAAAUGCUUAGAUAUCACGAAGAACUCCGAUUGCGAAGGCAGUUCACUGGACUGCAACUGACACUGAGGCUCGAAAGUGUGGGUAUCAAACAGGAUUAGAUACCCCUGUAGUC
rnacentral:rRNA from 1 species